UGGACAGAUUAUUGUAUUCGACUAUAUUCACAGCGUGAAAUAGGGGAUUACACUGUUUUUAAAACGGAAAGUGAAUCAAUUAACAUAAUAGACUCCU
rnacentral:pre_miRNA from 1 species